UUUCGGACGGAACGAAAGGUAGUCUUGGGGUUCCCUGGUUCAGCUCUGUCCAUUCGACUACUUUUCCGUCAAAAUCCGGACCCAUCAAUUUUCGCUAAAAAUGGGGCCUUUGUAAAUUUGGCCAAAGAUGAAAAAAAUAAAAAUCGCUGGAAAUGACCGGGAUUGGUCCGACAGAACCCCCUUUCAAUCUCUCAGUCGAAAUGUUACGCCACCAGGCCAUGAUAAGUGAGUUACGCAUGUUCUUUCUUGGACCGGCUCGCCUGCUAGGUAGGCAGCCCGUUGUACGCUGCCCGCCAGAUUCAAAAGACCAUCCCUUAAAACUCAAGUUACUGUGGACAGGGGUGGUUUCUGGCGGAACCAAAAGUAGUUUUGUGGUCCCCUGGUUUACCCCUGUCGAUUCGACUACUUUUCCGUCGAAAUCCGGACCCACCCAUUUUCGCUAAAAACACAAAGGCUAUAGCCUUUGUAAAUUUUGCCAAAAAUGAAAAAAAUAAAAAUAGCUGGAAAUGAUUGGAAUUGGUCUAGGAGAGUCGACUUUGACCACCUCUGUCGAAAUUGCAUGCUUCCUGCCUCUUUUGCAUCCUGUUUCUUCGACUACAAAAUUGCGUCUUUGGUUUGUUGCAGGAAGAUUAUCGGCGUGGAGGUGCACCUGACUUGGACAUCAGCAAAGCAGCCUAUGUGUCACCUGCUGUAUGCUGAGUUGGAGUUGGAGCACACAUGAUUGCAUGAAUGAAUCUGGUAUUUAGAUUCGCCCAAAGUCACCAGCAGAAACAAGCCAACUAAUGGAGCAAGAUGUACUCUCAUAAUGUAAAUGAUUUGAAACAAUAAAGAAUU